AUUGAACGCUGGCGGCAGGCCUAACACAUGCAAGUCGAGCGGAUGAAGGGAGCUUGCUCCUGGAUUCAGCGGCGGACGGGUGAGGAAUGCCUAGGAAUCUGCCUGGUAGUGGGGGAUAACGUCCGGAAACGGGCGCUAAUACCGCAUACGUCCUGAGGGAGAAAGUGGGGGAUCUUCGGACCUCACGCUAUCAGAUGAGCCUAGGUCGGAUUAGCUAGUUGGUGGGGUAAAGGCCUACCAAGGCGACGAUCCGUAACUGGUCUGAGAGGAUGAUCAGUCACACUGGAAAUGAGACACGGUCCAGACUCCUACGGGAGGCAGCAGUGGGGAAUAUUGGACAAUGGGCGAAAGCCUGAUCCAGCCAUGCCGCGUGUGUGAAGAAGGUCUUCGGAUUGUAAAGCACUUUAAGUUGGGAGGAAGGGCAGUAAGUUAAUACCUUGCUGUUUUGACGUUACCAACAGAAUAAGCACCGGCUAACUUCGU
rnacentral:rRNA from 1 species